rnacentral:rRNA from 1 species
ACUCAAGAAAAGAAUCUUAGUCCAACCUAAAGUCACCCUAUAAAUCAAAUUACUACUUUAGAGCAAUUCAAAUAAGGUACAGCCUAUUUGAAACAGGACACAACCUUUAACAACGGCUAAUUACAACAAUAACUAAAUUAAGUAGGCCUAAAAGCAGCCAUCUUAGAAGAGCGUCAAAGCCUAAUUUUACCCACACUAAAUACCCCACCUUCCCCAGAACCCUUCAUUAGUAUUGAGUACUUCUAUAUCCUUAUAGAAAUUUUUAUGUUAAAACUAGUAACAAGAAAACCUUCUCUUUAAUGCAAACAUAAAUCAGAAUGGAUCCACCACUGAUAAUUACACCCCCUAGCAAAAACUCACCAUGAAAACCCUGCCCCCUUCCCCGUUAACCUUACACAAGAGCAUUACAAGAACGAUUUAAAGAAAAAGAAGGAACUCGGCAAAUAUUGACUUCGCCUGUUUACCAAAAACAUCGCCUCUUGACAACCAUAAGAGGUCUAGCCUGCCCAGUGACACUAGUUCAACGGCCGCGGUAUCCUGACCGUGCGAAGGUAGCGUAAUCACUUGUCUUUUAAAUUGAGACUAGUAUGAAAGGCACCACGAAAAUCAAACUGUCUCCUCUUUCUAAUCUGUGAAACUGAUCUCCCCGUGAAGAAGCGAGGAUCUUAGUAUAAGACGAGAAGACCCUAUGGAGCUUCAGACAAAAUAAUACUGCCCCCCCCCUUUUUUUUUCUUUCAAGAAAAUACUCAUUCGGCAUCAUAAUAUCUAGUCUUAGGUUGGGGCGACCAUGGAGUAAAAACCACCCUCCAUGCUGAAUAGGACCUCCUUAAACAAGAGCCACAGCUCUACGCAUCAAUAAAUUGACAACACUUGACCCAAUUACUUGAUCAACGAAACAAGUUACCCUAGGGAUAACAGCGCAAUCCACUUCGAGAGCCCUUAUCAACAAGUGGGUUUACGACCUCGAUGUUGGAUCAGGGUACCCCAGUGGUGCAGCCGCUACUAAAGGUUUGUUUGUCAACA